rnacentral:lncRNA from 1 species
CUAGGGAGCCGUGCCCAGCCAGAGAGGCGGCUGCUCUGCGGGUUUUCAGCAAGAUGUGCCACCUUGUGCCAUUUUGAUCUGAGGAGUGACCUAUCUUUCAAAUAGACAACCUUGGACCACAAUGCGGAGCCCCUACGUCACUUUUCUCCUCCCGUCGGGUCCCUGUGCAAACCCCCUGCUGUGAUACGCUUGAAGCGGAGAGUGAGUGGAGGAAGGAGGACAGCUUGAGGGGGAACUUUUCGAGUGGAACAACACAAAAAAGCUCUCCGUGCGGCCCCAAAAAUGGCUGAAGUCACGACCGAAGGACCCGAACAGGAUUCCGAGAGGACGGCGGAUCAAAACGGCGCCGGUGAGACGGGAGAAACCGGCAAGGAGGAGCAGGCCCUGCCGGACCCCAAACAGGAACCGGGCGACAACGAGAGCGGAGCAGGAAUGGACGUGAACGGCGGACACGGUGCGGUGACGACGGGGGAGGAGGAGGAGGAAGACAACUCGUCUCCCGUCCCCAACGCCGGCAAAGAAACAGUUUCACCGACCGAAAAUAGACUCGACGGCGAGGGGGAAACGGGCGGUAAACUCUCCGAAGCGGGGAAAAGUCCCGUACGGGGGAGUUUGGCGAGUAGCACCGAGGGUGUACCAGAGGGCUCCCGGGUGCUGAAACAAGAACAAAGAGAGGAGGAGAGCGUGUCCUCACCGCCUACCGACCGCACAAAGACCGCGGAGAAAGGGGAACACGGCACCAAGAGACGGGCCAGUGUGGAAAUGUCCUCCUCGGAUGGAGAGCCGCUCAGCCGUGUGGAUUCAGAGGACAGAGAGCCAGUAUGGAGACGGAUCUGACCAGAUGGUUGUCUAGCUCUGCCCACACAGACUGGGUGCCAGCAGGGGUGCUAGCUGUGAAAGCUGCUCGGCUAUUCGGUUGUCCAGCAUGUACAGUCUUGGCCAACUAAGAGUCGCAACGGACUAGAAGCUCCCGAUUCACACAGUUCUUAAACAUCUCUAUGGAGGCAUUCAUUGAAGAAGAGAAUUCACUAGAUGGGUGAUGGGCCUGUUUCACUGACUCCAGACAUAAACAUGUUGUUUAGACGAUAUGCAAGAAGAAGUAUAAAGAGUGUGAGAUGGAAUUUAAAAAAGUUUUU